rnacentral:lncRNA from 1 species
CAAUUACUCGCUUCGUUUUUACAAGUACUGACAUCUCUUAAUCCUGCCUAUACCAUUUAUCCUGUGUAUUAUUCACUCAGUUAAAAUUAAUAUUAUUCUAAUCAUCUCAAAUCGGGCGAUCUCAUCUGGUUUGUGAGUCGGACUAGUUCAACUUCAUAGACCACUAAGCUCUAAACAUGAUCUCAAAUAAAGUCACCAUUUACUACCCUGAGAUAAAAUUGCUGGUGACUUCAUUCGUAGGUAUCAUCAAUGACAAUAUCUAUAAAUGGAAAUACGCUAUAUACCUUGCGUUUCUUAAAUAGCUGAGUACAACCUGUUGGACGACUUCUCUAGUAGUAGUCCGUAAACUUGGAAUUGACUCCAGCUCCAUUGAUUGUCUGUUCAGAACUAGCACAGUGUCCUUCACAUUUCUGUACUAGACAACCUAAACUUCGAAAGCUUUGACCUCCUACUAUGCAACUCCAUGAAACUCCGUAGUUGUUGUCACAAACCAACUUAGCUUGACUAUCAUCGACAUAUUGAUAUUGAACAUUAUACUGAUGCGCUAUCAACACACCACAAAAAGCAAGAGACACGGUUUGUCUCUUGUUCGUCCCUUGUACGUUGCCAAAGCUACGGUCCUAAUCCUUAAUCAAUAUACUCGUUGAAGGAUUGAUAUUUUCAGGUCCUUCAUAAACACUGUCAUCAAAUAUAUAACAAUCAGUGGUAUACUGACCUGUUAGAAGUUGACAUAAGCAAGCAUCGGUAUCAG